rnacentral:rRNA from 1 species
AACGAACGCUGGCGGCAGGCCUAACACAUGCAAGUCGAGCGGGACCUUCGGGUCUAGCGGCGGACGGGUUAGUAACGCGUGGGAACGUGCCCAAAGGUACGGAAUAGCCUCGGGAAACUGAGAGUAAUACCGUAUGUGCCCCUCGGGGGAAAGAUUUAUCGCCUUUGGAUCGGCCCGCGUUGGAUUAGGUAGUUGGUGGGGUAAUGGCCUACCAAGCCGACGAUCCAUAGCUGGUUUGAGAGGAUGAUCAGCAACACUGGGACUGAGACACGGCCCAGACUCCUACGGGAGGCAGCAGUGGGGAAUCUUAGACAAUGGGGGAAACCCUGAUCUAGCCAUGCCGCGUGAGCGAUGAAGGCCUUAGGGUUGUAAAGCUCUUUCAGAUGGGAAGAUAAUGACGGUACCAUCAGAAGAAGCCCCCGGCUAACUCCGUGCCAGCAGCCGCGGUAAAGUCUGU